rnacentral:lncRNA from 1 species
CUAUAAAAGAUGUAACAGAUGCAAACUGUAAAACAAGGGCAAUUAACCCUUGCUCUCCUGAGCAGGAUCCCCUCUCGCCUUCUCAUCUAUUGUCUUCCCCAGCACUGGGACUUUUACAUUAUUAUAUGUUUUUAAUAAUUCCUUGAC